GACUCAAUGGCACAACGGUUAGUGCGCUUGCUUGUAUUAGUAGUUAUUGUGAAUAUGGACUUUAGGCAAGAGGUCCCCGUUCGAUUCGGGGUUGGGUCA